rnacentral:rRNA from 1 species
GACGGAGGGUGCUAGCGUUGUUCGGAAUCACUGGGCGUAACGGGCGCGUAGGCGGCCCAUGCCGUCGGCUCGUGAAAGCCCGGGGCUCAACCCCGGAGGUGCGGCCGAGACCCAUGGGCUGGAGGCCGGAAGAGGAGGGUGGAAUACCCAGUGUCGAGGUGAAAUUCGUAGAUAUUGGGUGGAACACCGGUGGCGAAAGCGGCUCUCUGGUCCGGUUCUGACGCUGAGGCGCGAAAGCGUGGGGAGCAAACAGG